rnacentral:rRNA from 1 species
AGUGAACGCUGGCGGUAGGCCUAACACAUGCAAGUCGAACGGCAGCACAGUAAGAGCUUGCUCUUACGGGUGGCGAGUGGCGGACGGGUGAGGAAUACAUCGGAAUCUACUUUUUCGUGGGGGAUAACGUAGGGAAACUUACGCUAAUACCGCAUACGACCUACGGGUGAAAGCAGGUGAUCUUCGGACCUUGCGCGAUUGAAUGAGCCGAUGUCGGAUUAGCUAGUUGGCGGGGUAAAGGCCCACCAAGGCGACGAUCCGUAGCUGGUCUGAGAGGAUGAUCAGCCAGACUGGAACUGAGACACGGUCCAGACUCCUACGGGAGGCAGCAGUGGGGAAUAUUGGACAAUGGGCGCAAGCCUGAUCCAGCCAUACCGCGUGGGUGAAGAAGGCCUUCGGGUUGUAAAGCCCUUUUGUUGGGAAAGAAAAGCAGCAGGUUAAUACCCCGCUGUUCUGACGGUACCCAAAGAAUAAGCACCGGCUAACUUCGUG